GUUAAGGACCUAUCGCUUACUUCCGGUAUACUUCCGGAAAAUUUGCAUAAAACUAGCAAGUGAGCUUUGUUCUCUGUAGAAUUCUAAAGACUCCAUGCUAAUUUUAAGCAAAGAUAAAUGGUCUUUUUGAUUACUUUUAUGACUAUUUUGACUAUCUAAGGCCAGUCCUUUAGAUAGUGAGUUUGGACGUGUGACAAAUAGAUGGCGUGAAAGAAUGGUGCUUGUUGUGUCAGAUAUGGGCUUAUGGUGGCUCGUUGCCAAAAGUUUAGCUAGCUAGAAAUUACCAAUGAAUUCGCUGGAGAAAAUGUGAAAGGUGCAUGAAACCUGUACAUCAUUCUAUGGGACUUGCCAGAUCACCAACCCCACACAUGGACCAAUCUCUCAUUCCAUCUUCUAGAGAACCUUGGAUAACUGAUUGGUGGUUUUGUGUAUCAUAGACAACAAGCACAUUGAU